UAAUAAUAGGCGGAGCAACACUUGUGCGUGAAGUGGGUCAGGGGAGGAAUCCAGCAGCCCUAAGCGAUUUUCGGGUGUGUGCUCUUUUUUUGUUGACUUUAC
rnacentral:SRP_RNA from 1 species